UUCACCUCCCGCUCUAUCUCACUUUCCCAAAAUUUUCUCUAAACCCUAAGACCCAAUUAUGUCUACGUCACUCUCAAAUGUCAAAAAAUUUCUCAAUUUCAUCCCCAAAGUCUUUGUUCCCUAAAUCUUCUCACUCUCAAUAGCUCACCCCCAAAACCUAACCUUUCAAUCGGAGCUCAAUCAUGGUCAACUCACUCAAUCGGUGCUCAACUCACUCACCCAAUUGGUGUUAUGUCUGAAUCGGUGCUCAACUCAAAACCUCUUCAACAACAUAGCCUCUUCAACAACACAACUAUCCUCUCUCUUUCUCUGGAGCAUUUAAUGUACUUUUCUUGCUCAGUUAUUGUCUUUGAGAUUCUUACCAACGAGUUUUGAAGCUGCUUCGGAAUAUUCAGUUCCUAUCUUUUUGAUUCACAACAAGUCUGAUUUGUUACGUGCAUAUUGUGUCGCUUUGCCAUCUGCUCUGUUUGUGCAUACUUCCUUUUGUGUCGCUCUCUGUUCUGCGCGCUAUUGGUUUUUUUAACUCUGGUGCUGUUUAUAAACAAGAGAUGGUAGACAUUCAUCGAAGUCUAGCUACCGCCUCGAGGAUCAUUGAAGCAACAUCAUUAGGGAAUAUUUAGAUAUUUUAUGGCUUAUAAUUUUGCUACAGUUGUUUUGAAUGUUCAGUCAUUAGUGUUUCGAUUUUUUGAAUGUUUAAAUUUGGUGCUAUAUCUUUUGUUUUAGUUAAGUUGAUGUAUGGAUCAAACUUCUUACUCUUGAAUUAUGUAUAUUUUUGCAUUUCAAGUCUUUAGUAAUAUAUUUA